rnacentral:rRNA from 1 species
AGAGUUUGAUCAUGGCUCAGAUUGAACGCUGGCGGUAUGCCUAACACAUGCAAGUCGAACGAGGUAGCAAUACCUAGUGGCGGACGGGUGAGGAAUACGUAGGGAUCUGCCCUUAAGUGGGGGAUAACCCGGGGAAACCCGGAUUAAUACCGCAUGAUCUCGCAAGAGCAAAGAGGGGGACCGCAAGGCCUCUCGCUUUUGGAGGAACCUACGUCGGAUUAGCUAGUUGGUGAGGUAAUGGCUCACCAAGGCGACGAUCCGUAACUGGUCUGAGAGGAUGAUCAGUCACACCGGAACUGAGACACGGUCCGGACUCCUACGGGAGGCAGCAGUGGGGAAUAUUGGACAAUGGGCGAAAGCCUGAUCCAGCAAUACCGCGUGUGUGAAGAAGGCCUUCGGGUUGUAAAGCACUUUAAGUUGGGAAGAAAAAGCUUCACCUAAUACGUGAAGCCUUGACGGUACCGACAGAAUAAGCACCGGCUAACUCUGUGCCAGCAGCCGCGGUAAUACAGAGGGUGCUAGCGUUAAUCGGAUUUACUGGGCGUAAAGCGUGCGUAGGUGGUUUGAUAAGUCGAUUGUGAAAGCCCCGGGCUUAACCUGGGAAUUGCGGUCGAUACUGUCAGACUCGAAAACGGUAGAGGGAGGUGGAACUCCAGGUGUAGCGGUGAAAUGCGUAGAUAUCUGGAAGAACACCGAUGGCGAAGGCAGCUUCCUGGGCCUGUUUUGACACUGAGGCACGAAAGCGUGGGUAGCAAACAGGAUUAGAUACCCUGGUAGUCC